GAUGAAGAACGUAGCGAAAUGCGAUAAGUAAUGUGAAUUGCAGAAUUCAGUGAAUCAUCGAAUCUUUGAACGCACAUUGCGCCCGCCAGUAUUCUGGCGAGCAUGCCUGUUCGAGCAUCAUUUCAACCAUCAAGCCCCAGGCUUGUGUUGGAGCCCUGCGGCUGCCGCAGCCUCCCAAAACCAGUGGCGGGCUCGCUAUCACACCGAGUGCAGUAGUUUACUCUUCGCUCAGGGCGUGUGGCGGGUGCUAGCCGUGAAACCCCCAACUUCUCAAGGUUGACCUCGGAUCAGGUAGGAAUACCCGCUGAACUUAAGCAUAUCAAUAAGCGGAGGA
rnacentral:misc_RNA from 1 species